AGUGAAUAGAUACCCUGGUAGUCCACGCCCUAAACGAUGUCAACUAGGUGUUGGGAGGGUUAAACCUUUUAGUGCCGUAGCUAAACGCGUGAAAGUUGACCGCCUGGGGAGUACGGCCGCAAGGCUAAAACUCAAAGGAAUUGACGGGGACCCGCACAAGCGGUGGAUGAUGUGGAUUAAUUCGAUGCAACGCGAAAAACCUUACCUACCCUUGACAUGUCAGGAAUCCUGGAGAGAUCUGGGAGUGCCCGCAAGGGAGCCUGAACACAGGUGCUGCGUGGCUGUCGUCAGCUCGUGUCGUGAGAUGUUGGGUUAAGUCCCGCAACGAGCGCAACCCUUGUCAUUAAUUGCCAUCAUUGAGUUGGGCACUUUAAUGAGACUGCCGGUGACAAACCGGAGGAAGGUGGGG
rnacentral:rRNA from 1 species